rnacentral:rRNA from 1 species
AUUGAACGCUGGCGGCAUGCCUUACACAUGCAAGUCGAACGGCAGCAUGGAGAGCUUGCUCUCUGAUGGCGAGUGGCGAACGGGUGAGUAAUGCAUCGGAACGUACCGUGUAAUGGGGGAUAACGUAGCGAAAGUUACGCUAAUACCGCAUACGACCUGAGGGUGAAAGCAGGGGAUCGCAAGACCUUGCGUUAUACGAGCGGCCGAUGUCAGAUUAGCUAGUUGGUGAGGUAAAGGCUCACCAAGGCGACGAUCUGUAGCGGGUCUGAGAGGAUGAUCAGCCACACUGGGACUGGGACACGGCCCAGACUCCUACGGGAGGCAGCAGUGGGGAAUUUUGGACAAUGGGGGCAACCCUGAUCCAGCCAUGCCGCGUGAGUGAAGAAGGCCUUCGGGUUGUAAAGCUCUUUCGGCCGGGAAGAAAUCGCACAGGCUAAUACUCUGUGUGGAUGACGGUACCGGCAUAAGAAGCACCGGCUAACUACGUGCCAGCCGCCGCAGUAA